rnacentral:rRNA from 1 species
UACAGAGGUCUCAAGCGUUGUUCGGAUUCAUUGGGCGUAAAGGGUGCGUAGGUGGCAUGGUAAGUCGGAUGUGAAAUCCCGGGGCUUAACCCCGGAACUGCAUUCGAUACUGCCAGGCUAGAGUCCGGAAGAGGCGAGUGGAAUUCCUGGUGUAGCGGUGAAAUGCGCAGAUAUCAGGAGGAACACCGAUGGCGAAGGCAGCUCGCUGGGACGGUACUGACGCUGAGACGCGAAAGCGUGGGGAGCAAACAGG